rnacentral:rRNA from 1 species
AGUGAACGCUGGCGGUAGGCCUAACGCAUGCAAGUCGAACGGCAGCACAGUAAGAGCUUGCUCUUACGGGUGGCGAGUGGCGGACGGGUGAGGAAUACAUCGGAAUCUACUUUUUCGUGGGGGAUAACGUAGGGAAACUUACGCUAAUACCGCAUACGACCUACGGGUGGAAGCAGGGGAUCUUCGGACCUUGCGCGAUUGAAUGAGCCGAUGUCGGAUUAGCUAGUUGGCGGGGUAAAGGCCCACCAAGGCGACGAUCCGUAGCUGGUCUGAGAGGAUGAUCAGCCACACUGGAACUGAGACACGGUCCAGACUCCUACGGGAGGCAGCAGUGGGGAAUAUUGGACAAUGGGCGCAAGCCUGAUCCAGCCAUACCGCGUGGGUGAAGAAGGCCUUCGGGUUGUAAAGCCCUUUUGUUGGGAAAGAAAAGCAGCAGGUUAAUACCCCGCUGUUCUGACGGUACCCAAAGAAUAAGCACCGGCUAACUUCGUG